UACGUAGGGUGCGAGCGUUAAUCGGAGUUACUGGGCGUAAAGGGCGCGUAGGCGGUCGACUAAGUGGGAUGUGAAAGCCCCGGGCUCAACCUGGGAACCGCGCUUGAGACUGGAGAACUAGAGUUCGGGAGAGGAUGGUGGAAUUCCCAGUGUAGAGGUGAAAUUCGUAGAUAUUGGGAAGAACACCGAUGGCGAAGGCAGCCAUCUGGACCGACACUGACGCUGAGGCGCGAAAGCGUGGGGAGCAAACAGG
rnacentral:rRNA from 1 species